rnacentral:rRNA from 1 species
GCCAUUUAAAGUGGUACGCGAGCUGGGUUUAGAACGUCGUGAGACAGUUCGGUCCCUAUCUGCCGUGGGCGCUGGAGAACUGAGGGGGGCUGCUCCUAGUACGAGAGGACCGGAGUGGACGCAUCACUGGUGUUCGGGUUGUCAUGCCAAUGGCACUGCCCGGUAGCUAAAUGCGGAAGAGAUAAGUGCUGAAAGCAUCUAAGCACGAAACUUGCCCCGAGAUGAGUUCUCCCUGAGACUUAGAGUCUCCUGAAGGAACGUUGAAGACGACGACGUUGAUAGGCCGGGUGUGUAAGCGCAGCGAUGCGUUGAGCUAACCGGUACUAAUGAACCGUGAGGCUUAACCUUACA